rnacentral:rRNA from 1 species
AUUGAACGCUGGCGGCAGGCUUAACACAUGCAAGUCGAGCGGAGAUGAGGUGCUUGCACCUUAUCUUAGCGGCGGACGGGUGAGUAAUGCUUAGGAAUCUGCCUAUUAGUGGGGGACAACAUUCCGAAAGGAAUGCUAAUACCGCAUACGUCCUACGGGAGAAAGCAGGGGAUCUUCGGACCUUGCGCUAAUAGAUGAGCCUAAGUCGGAUUAGCUAGUUGGUGGGGUAAAGGCCUACCAAGGCGACGAUCUGUAGCGGGUCUGAGAGGAUGAUCCGCCACACUGGGACUGAGACACGGCCCAGACUCCUGCGGGAGGCAGCAGUGGGGAAUAUUGGACAAUGGGGGGAACCCUGAUCCAGACAUGCCGCGUGUGUGGAGAAGGCCUUAUGGUUGUAAAGCACUUUAAGCGAGGAGGAGGCUCUUUUGGUUAAUACCCAAGAUGAGUGGACGUUACUCGCAGAAUAAGCACCGGCUAACUCUGUGCCAGCCGCCGCAGUAACAC